AAGCCAUCCCCAAGAUAAGAUUUCCCUUGAGGGUCGUAGUAGAUGACUACGUUGAUAGGCGGUAGGUGUACAGGCAGUGAUGUCACAGCCGAGCCGUACUAAUAGCCCGAAAGACUUUCGGAA
rnacentral:rRNA from 1 species